AUUGAACGCUGGCGGCAGGCCUAACACAUGCAAGUCGAGCGGAUGAAGGGAGCUUGCUCCUGGAUUCAGCGGCGGACGGGUGAGUAAUGCCUAGGAAUCUGCCUGGUAGUGGGGGAUAACGUCCGGAAACGGGCGCUAAUACCGCAUACGUCCUGAGGGAGAAAGUGGGGGAUCUUCGGACCUCACGCUAUCAGAUGAGCCUAGGUCGGAUUAGCUAGUUGGUGGGGUAAAGGCCUACCAAGGCGACGAUCCGUGACUGGUCUGAGAGGAUGAUCAGUCACACUGGAACUGAGACACGGUCCAGACUCCUACGGGAGGCAGCAGUGGGGAAUAUUGGACAAUGGGCGAAAGCCUGAUCCAGCGAUGGCGCGUGUGUGAAGAAGGUGUUCGGAUUGUAAAGAACUUUAAGUUGGGAGGAAGGGCAGUAAGUUAAUACCUUGCUGUUUUGACGUUACCAACAGAAUAAGCACCGGCUAACUUCGUG
rnacentral:rRNA from 1 species